rnacentral:tRNA from 1 species
AGGUAAUUAGUUUAAAAAAAAACAUUUGAUUUCGGCUCAAAAACUUGUGGUUAAAAUCCACAAUUAACCUG